AGAGUUUGAUCCUGGCUCAGAAUCAACGCUGGCGGCGUGCCUAACACAUGCAAGUCGAACGAGAAAGUGGAGCAAUCCAUGAGUAUAGUGGCGUACGGGUGAGUAACACGUGACUAACCUACCCUUGAGUGGGGGGUAACUUCGGGAAACCGAGGCUAAUACCGCAUAAUACCUUCGGGUCAAAGGAGUAAUUCGCUUAAGGAGGGGGUCGCGGCUGAUUAGCUAGUUGGUAGGGUAAUGGCCUACCAAGGCAAUGAUCAGUAUCCGGCCUGAGAGGGCGCACGGACACACUGGAACUGAAACACGGUCCAGACUCCUACGGGAGGCAGCAGUGGGGAAUUUUGCACAAUGGGGGAAACCCUGAUGCAGCAACGCCGCGUGGAGGAUGAAGUCCCUUGGGAUGUAAACUCCUUUCGACCGGGACGAUAAUGACGGUACCGGUAGAAGAAGCCCCGGCUAACUCUGUGCCAGCAGCCGCGGUAAUACAGAGGGGGCAAGCGUUGUUCGGAAUUAUUGGGCGUAAAGGGUGCGUAGGCGGUGCGGUAAGUCUUCUGUGAAAUCUCCGGGCUCAACUCGGAGCCUGCAGGAGAAACUGCCGUGCUUGAGUAUGGGAGAGGUGAGUGGAAUUCCUGGUGUAGCGGUGAAAUGCGUAGAUAUCAGGAGGAACACCUGUGGCGAAAGCGGCUCACUGGACCAUAACUGACGCUGAGGCACGAAAGCUAGGGGAGCAAACAGGAUUAGAUACCCUGGUAGUCCUAGCCCUAAACGAUGAUUGCUUGGUGUAGCAGUACCCAAUCCUGCUGUGCCGCAGCUAACGCGUUAAGC
rnacentral:rRNA from 1 species